CCCCGUGACGUUGGUGCAGCACCCGCUGUUCGGGCCAGAGCCAGUUGUAACAACUUGUAGUAACUGUGGAAAAGAAGUAACUACCGAGAUAAGCAGACAUGCCUCAGCCUGCUCAUACAUUACCUGCAUUCUCAGCGUUUUUGUCUGCUUCCCGUGUUUCUGGGUUCCCCUCGUAUGUCCUUGGUUCAUGGACACCAUCCACGCUUGUCCCAACUGCAAAGAUACAAUGGGCAUCUAUUCCCGAUUUAACUGACGCAUAGAGACACUAAAGCAUGUAUUCAAGAUGAUCAAAUAAAAAUCAUAUGGAAUGCCAAGCAGCCUACAUCUUUCGGAAAAAAGACUAUAUUUUUAAAAAAAGAAACGAAUUUAUUGAGUUUGAUUGCUAUUCCAGAUGUGAAGAUUAAAGAAGUGAGAUAGGAAUUCCAACACGUUUUUUCCUCUUUCACACUUUAGCUUCUUGGCAUGCUUAAAUAAAGCAAUGGUGAUAUAUUUAUUGGUAGAAAAUAUAUGUAGACGAUAUUUUUCCCAAUAUUUACCUGUAUAAUAAUGUAUAAAAAAUUUCUAGAAUUUUUAGAGUUUCAUGCUAAUAAGCUAAAUUUUCUGUCUUUUUCUCCUUCAUAAUAGCUAUUACUUAAGAAGUGCAUAAUGGUAAUUACAAAAAGCAAAUUUCUUUCAGAGGUAAAAUUUUUCGGAGUACUUUUCUGUAAACUAAAUGUAGAUCAAAAUAGAUUUAGUUGUUAAUAUAAAAACCUUGAACAACUAGCAGAAUGAUAUCUACAUAUUUCUGAAAAAACACAUUCAUUAAAAUUUUCACAAACUUGAUAAAAUCGUUUUGUUUGGACUCCACUAACUAACGCAGAUACUAACAUUCACUAAAAUUAUAACUAUGAAAUAUAUCACUAUCUAAUAAUACUUCAAAAUCUCUCUACUUGAAUAAACUGAUUAAAAUAUUUUAGUAUUUUCUCUGGAAAAUCUUUUGCACGAUUAAAAAUUAAGUUUUUUUUGUAGCAAUAUUCUGAAUAUUUUACUUAUGUAUUUUGUCGUUAGAUGGCAGUUAUUUAAUAUCUUCUCCUGCUCUCCAUUGAUUUUUGAUAUGGACUGGCAUGGAGUGAGAAUAAUUAAUUUCGGAGUUUUCUGUAGACUAAAAGCAUUUUCGCGCAGUCCAAUUUCCUUUCUUUUAUAAAACAAUAAAAAUAACAAUAGAACAAAUUAAUCCAGGAAAAACACUGCAUGAACAAAGUUGAUCAAGAACAUUUAACUUAAAAUUUUCUGACAAUUUGCUCAAUUUAAGUAUGGUUCUAGUAAGGUAGUUUAGCUUACAUAAAGUGCUUCUUUCGUAGGUGAUUUGGUUUGCAAUGAAUUUAAUAAUGAAGACUUAUUUAUGUGAUAGACCUUCAUUUCUGAAAUUAAUGUAAACAGCUUAUUAAUACGAUACUAAUGCUAAUUAAAUUUUAAAAAAUACCAAAGAUUGGAAAAAUUAUUAAAAAUGUUACAGCGUUUAAAAACGACACACGUAAAUGUAUUGAUAAUUUAAAAUAUUUCACAUGUAAGUUUUUUUUUUCAAAUACUGUUAUCUUUUUAAAAAUAUCAAAUGCUUUGGCAUGGAAUAUUUAUAAUUCCCCUUUCGAAACCUGAAUUUAGAAACUGAGGAUAGGUUACCUUCAGUUUUAAAAGUUAAAAAUAAAACAGAGGAUAGAUUGUUUUCAGUUUUAAAAGAUAAAAAUAAAAUAAUCUAUUAUGGUUAACUUACUGAAAGGUAAAUCAGUAAAGCCAGCUUGCUUAAACUCUCCAAAAUUUUAAAUAUAGUGUAUAACUGCUAUAAACUGUUGUUUGGGAAUCCAAUGUAUAGACUAAAUUUAUUACAAUAACAAGCUUAAAAUUAAAUGUCAUUGCCAGGGCACUUCCUCUUAAAACAUAUGCUUCAAAUAUACUUGCUUUGCAUUUCAGAUUUAAUUAAAUAUUCCCUGCGGUCUAAUUUUUUGAAGAUUUGAUUUUUUUGAUAAGCAUGACAUUUAUUUCUAUUUGCUUUGUAAUUUUUAUUUAACGAAAUUAAAAAAAUAAAUCGUAGCUGCUUUGAAAUCAAAGAAAGUGUUAUACAAAUUAAAAAUCUGGAAGCUGUUUAUUACUAAUUACUUUCUUCUUCAGCGUAUAUGUAUGUAUGUUAAAAGUUUUAUGUUUUUCAAACUAAAUUUUUAGUUGGUAAACUACCUUUAAGCUUGAUUAAUUAUUAUAUAUCGUGUAAAUAUUUCUUUAAAAACAGUUCUCGAAGUAACUGAUUUUAUAUAAAUGUGUUUUUCAGAAAAUUUUAUAUAACUUUUUCUAUCAGAGUGCAACAAACUCUACUCCCUUUUCACAGUUAUUUAGAACAAUAAUUAUAUUAUUAAUAUUCACAUUUUUUUUCUGAAAAAUAAUAAAUUUUUCUUUAAUCCUUACACGAAUAAUGACAGCACAGAGUGCAAGUGUAAAUGUUCAUCUAUAAAAAAAAUUUUAGCUUUUUCUAAUUAUUAUUAUUUUCUUUCUCGGAGUAUACUUAUGUAUGUGAAAAGUUUUACGUUUUCCAACUGUGUUUUUAUUAGUUAAACUAUAUUUAAUUUGAUUAAUUGCUAUAUUUUCUGUAAAUGAUUCUUUAAAAGUAGUCCUCGUGAGAAACUGAUGUUUUGUAAAUGUGCUUUUCCGAGCAUUUUAUACAGUUUUUACUAUCAGAGUACUACUAAUUCUACUAUAUGAAACAAUUAUUAUUAUAAAUAAUCACAUUUUAUUUUCUGAAAAUUGCUGAUAUUAUUUUUUCUUUAGAAUUUAUAUGAGUAAUGGCAACAUACAAUACAAAUGCAAAUCUUGGUAUAUUUAAGAAAAAUCAAAUUUAUGAACGCACAAUGUUACUCGAUUUUGAAAUAUAUCAAAACAGCAUACAUAAUAUAUAUUUGAUUACAAUCCGUAAAAAAAUAUAUUAUAAGCAAUCAUUUCUCAUAAAGUAUUAAAUGAUAAGUAUAAUUUAUUGUUUACUUUGUGCGUUGGUUAUUUCUGGUUAAAUAUAUAAGCCAUCAUUAAGUCACAUAUCCCUAAUAAUACAUAAUGCACAAUAUAAAUAUUAUUUUGUUACUUAAAUUUAAUUAAAAAUUAAAUUGUAUUCAUAUUAUUUCCGAAAUGUCAUGUUUAUUCCCCCUCCGAAAUAAAAGAAUAAGCUUAAAUAUCCCCCCACUCACACAAUUUACAGUGUCAAAAAUAAUAAUGUUUUUCAUUUCCUUCUAAUUAAUUGUACGCAAACGAUUGAGGUACUUACUAUAUUUUAACGCAACCACUUUGGCGCAGUUAGAAGAAUUUAAUGUUAGAAAAAGUGCAAUGACGUUUUGUUAUAAAAACCAUUUAUUAUGUGCAUAUUUUAUAUUUGAACUGUGCAUUUAUCUAAAAAUAUAAUCAAUAAACUACUUGGGAACUUAUUUAUAUUUUGUUUCUAUUAUCUGGUGAAAAUUUCUAUUAUCUGGUGAAUAUAUACAUAUUUAAAUUUUUUUCUUAUUAUCUGGUGAAAAUUUCACGGUGAAAUGCUUUGAAGCCGGGGCCAAAUGACCAGUGUUCAGCGACGUUACCUCUCGGGCACUGGUGGGCCAUGAGAAAUUUGAAUUAGCGAUUUGCGGCAAAAUUCCUGCAAAUAUUUUACCGAAGUUUCUUUUAUUGUAGGCAAAUAUAACAAAUACAUAUUUUAAAACCGACUUUAAGACAAUAAAUGACCAUACAAAACACAUUAGAACUUCCAGCUAAAAAAAUGACGACGUUGGUUGUUAAAACAACAAAUUCUUGGGCAUGGUUGCCAGAUUCUGGAGCAUUCUGAAAUUCUGAGGAAUCCUACUAAGGUGGUUGCGAUAAUACGCAAGUACCGCGAUUCAAUUUAACCUGUUAAAUGUCAACUUGCUUAGUGUGUAAUUUUUAAAUCAGACAUUAUCAUGUAGUUGUCAGUCUCAUGCUACACAGACUAAUGUAUAUGAUGCUAAAUAUAUCAUUUUUUAUUUUUUCUAAGAGGUAUAAAAUAUAUACAAUUAAUUAGAUAAAUUAUCGCUUAUAAAUCCGGUAGUCAUUUUAGAUUUUCUUAAUUACCAUCUCUUUUUUUUUUAUCAUGAAGUCAUGUUUCACUGUGUAUAGACCCACAUCAUCGACAAGAAGCGGUCUUCCACAAAUGGCCGUGUAUCUCACCGCAGUUGCCUCACAACUUCGAAGAUCGAUUCACAUAAUUUUAAACAUUUCUGCACCUGUGAUGAAACUACUUGUUAACUAUACCUAUAUAUACCCAUAUUUCUCUUUCAUAUUUCAAUAGUCUUAAGUGUUUAUAUAUUUCAAGCAACUUUUUACACAUUCAGAAAUAUUUCUAUAUUGUUUAAAAGUAUGUAAUUGCUGUGUAUUAUAUUAAAAAACCUUCAUAUUAUCUUUCCGAAAUACAUUUAGCUCUAAUAAUAUACAUUCGUAUUUGUAUCAGUCUUCUAAAAUUUAUUUCUAAGUGUAUUUCUUGCAUAUGAUUGUGCAUUUGUUGACUUUCUGUUGCUUGAUUUUCCACUUUUUUUUCCUUAUUCCUUUAUGGAGUAUAUUGUUUACAAUGUUUUACUGUACAAUAAUGUAGAAUUUUUACAUAUUAAACUGUAGUACUCUAUUUGUAAAUUUAACAACUGCAUCUUCCACGAUAUUUGCUACUUUAAUGUAAAUAAAACAAAUGUACAUAUUUGCACUGUUAAGAUUCAUGUCACUUGCGAAACGAUUUGCAAUCUCAUGUAUUAACUUAUUUACUUUUUUAUAAAACUUUCACUGUUAA